AGAAGGGGGAUAGACGUCGACAUUUAUCAAGGAAUUCGAAACCUUCAAAACAGAAGGACAGGAUCGACAUUCCACAGAAAAUUGAGUUCGACAUUCCCAGAAGGGGGAUAGACGUCGACAUUUACCAAGGAAUUCGAAACUUUCAAAAUAGAAGGCCAGGAUCGACAUUCCGCAAAAAAUUGAGUUCGACAUUCCAAGAAGGGGGAUAGACGUCGACAUUUAUCAAGGAAUUCGAAACCUUCAAAACAGAAGGACAGGAUCGACAUUCCACAGAAAAUUGAGUUCGACAUUCCACCAGAAGGGGGAUAGACGUCGACAUUUACCAAGGAAGUCGAAACCUUCAAAAUAAAAGGUUAGGAUCGACAUUCCAGCACUAUUCUGAUCGACAUCCUCAGAAAAAGAUGAGAUCGACUU
rnacentral:lncRNA from 1 species